AGGGCUGUAGCUCAAUGGCAGAACAACUGCUUUGCAUGCAGAAGGUCCCAGGUUCAUUCCCUGGCACCUCCA